rnacentral:rRNA from 1 species
AGAGUUUGAUCCUGGCUCAGAUUGAACGCUGGCGGCAGGCCUAACACAUGCAAGUCGAGCGGCAGCGGGAAAGUAGCUUGCUACUUUUGCCGGCGAGCGGCGGACGGGUGAGUAAUGCCUGGGGAUCUGCCCAGUCGAGGGGGAUAACAGUUGGAAACGACUGCUAAUACCGCAUACGCCCUACGGGGGAAAGGAGGGGACCUUCGGGCCUUUCGCGAUUGGAUGAACCCAGGUGGGAUUAGCUAGUUGGUGGGGUAAUGGCUCACCAAGGCGACGAUCCCUAGCUGGUCUGAGAGGAUGAUCAGCCACACUGGAACUGAGACACGGUCCACACUCCUACGGGAGGCAGCAGUGGGGAAUAUUGCACAAUGGGGGAAACCCUGAUGCAGCCAUGCCGCGUGUGUGAAGAAGGCCUUCGGGUUGUAAAGCACUUUCAGCGAGGAGGAAAGGUUGGCGCCUAAUACGUGUCAACUGUGACGUUACUCGCAGAAGAAGCACCGGCUAACUCCGUGCCAGCAGCCGCGGUAAUACGGAGGGUGCAAGCGUU